rnacentral:rRNA from 1 species
UACGUAGGGGGGCAAGCGUUGUCCGGAUUUAUUGGGCGUAAAGAGCGUGUAGGCGGCUUUACAGGUCCGUUGUGAAAGCCCGAGGCUCAACCUCGGAACUGCCUUCGAUACUGCGGGUCUCGAGUCCGGGAGAGGUGAGUGGAAUUCCUAGUGUAGAGGUGAAAUUCGUAGAUAUUAGGAAGAACACCAGUGGCGAAGGCGGCUCACUGGCUCGGUACUGACGCUGAGGCGCGAAAGCGUGGGGAGCAAACAGGG